rnacentral:rRNA from 1 species
CAUCCUCCAAGGCUAAAUACUCCUGACUGACCGAUAGUGAACCAGUACCGUGAGGGAAAGGCGAAAAGAACCCCGGCGAGGGGAGUGAAAAAGAACCUGAAACCGUGUACGUACAAGCAGUGGGAGCACAGGUUUACCUGUGUGACUGCGUACCUUUUGUAUAAUGGGUCAGCGACUUAUAUUCUGUAGCAAGGUUAACCGUAUAGGGGAGCCGCAGGGAAACCGAGUCUUAACCGGGCGUUAAGUUGCAGGGUAUAGACCCGAAACCCGGUGAUCUAGCCAUGGGCAGGUUGAAGGUUGGGUAACACUAACUGGAGGACCGAACCGACUAAUGUUGAAAAAUUAGCGGAUGACCUGUGGCUGGGGGUGAAAGGCCAAUCAAACCGGGAGAUAGCUGGUUCUCCCCGAAAGCUAUUUAGGUAGCGCCUCGUGAAUUCAUCUCCGGGGGUAGAGCACUGUUUCGGCUAGGGGGCCAUCCCGGCUUACCAACCCGAUGCAAACUGCGAAUACCGGAGAAUGUUAUCACGGGAGACACACGGCGGGUGCUAACGUCCGUCGUGAAGAGGGAAACAACCCAGACCGCCAGCUAAGGUCCCAAAGUCAUGGUUAAGUGGGAAACGAUGUGGGAAGGCCCAGACAGCCAGGAUGUUGGCUUAGAAGCAGCCAUCAUUUAAAGAAAGCGUAAUAGCUCACUGGUCGAGUCGGCCUGCGCGGAAGAUGUAACGGGGCUAAACCAUGCACCGAAGCUGCGGCAGCGACGCUGAUGCGUUGUUGGGUAGGGGAGCGUUCUGUAAGCCUGUGAAGGUGGCCUGUGAGGGUUGCUGGAGGUAUCAGAAGUGCGAAUGCUGACAUAAGUAACGAUAAAGCGGGUGAAAAGCCCGCUCGCCGGAAGACCAAGGGUUCCUGUCCAACGUUAAUCGGGGCAGGGUGAGUCGACCCCUAAGGCGAGGCCGAAAGGCGUAGUCGAUGGGAAACGGGUUAAUAUUCCCGUA